UCACUGUUACUCUUUCUCCUUCUCCUAAAUGAAACUUUGCUCCAAGUGGUCUUGGUCCUCCUCAUAGUGAGAUCACAGAGGAGGGGUGACCUCCAGUCUUCUGCCUUCUAUGCAGGCGUUCCGGCCUAGCAACCCCUCCCACUGUCCCCUCUGCACCACACAGAAGUCAGGGACACCUUCCAGGGUGGGGCUGUUGGGCUGGGCUCAGGGGUCAGAAGCUGAUAGGAGAGGUCAGGUCUCCUGUGUGCCCUGGAUGGAGUCAAAGGACACGGUCCCGCUCGGGAGGUGUGUUCCUCCAUCUGCCAAGUGAAAAUUUCUCAUCUGUCCCCCUGAAGACGGGGUGAGGGGCACCGCUGGAGUCCAAGGUGCUGGGGUAGGGUGGAUGUAAGCAGGACCCUUCCCAGCCCUGGACCAGAGCCCAUCACCCUGGCAGCAGGAGCCUCAGGUACAGCCACGUGCUACGCAGUGGGGGCUUGUCACUCACCCUAUGGCACUGGGGCCUACAGCUUUUCUUCCCAGUUCUCUCUUGACCCUAAAAUAAAGGCACACAUACAUUCAUUUUUA